CUCACUGCCAUCGUCGUCGCUUGCGUAAUCCUUCGUUUGUUACUGUCGCGAUAUGUAUCGUCGCCGUCCCACCCAUCAUCCUCCUCCCUCCUCUUCCCUUCGCUUUCAUUUUUUUCCUGUGUGUCCCAUUCACUUUCCGCCAAUCCUCACUUCACUUUCUCUGCCCAUCGGAUGAGAUGGAUGUUGAGGUUUUCCUGGUGACGUGAGGCAAACGCCUUCCU
ensembl:ncRNA F13H6.26 ncRNA